rnacentral:rRNA from 1 species
CCGCUGGCGGCGUGCUCACACAUGCAAGUCGAACGGAAAGGCCCAGCUUGCUGGGUACUCGAGUGGCGAACGGGUGAGUACACGUGGGUGAUCUGCCCUGGACUCUGGGAUAAGCCUGGGAAACUGGGUCUAAUACCGGAUAUGACCUUACAUCGCAUGGUGUUUGGUGGAAAGCUUUUGCGGUUCAGGAUGGGCCCGCGGCCUAUCAGCUUGUUGGUGGGGUAAUGGCCUACCAAGGCGACGACGGGUAGCCGACCUGAGAGGGUGAUCGGCCACACUGGGACUGAGACACGGCCCAGACUCCUACGGGAGGCAGCAGUGGGGAAUAUUGCACAAUGGGCGCAAGCCUGAUGCAGCGACGCCGCGUGAGGGAUGACGGCCUUCGGGUUGUAAACCUCUUUCACCACGGACGAAGCGCAAGUGACGGUACCUGGAGAAGAAGCCCGGCCACUACGUGCCAGCAGCGCGGUAAUACGUGGGUGCGAGCGUUGCCGGAAUUC